CCUACGGGGGGCCGCAGUGAGGAAUAUUGGUCAAUGGGCGCGAGCCUGAACCAGCCAAGUAGCGUGAAGGAUGACUACCCUACGGGUUGUAAACUUCUUUUAUAAAGGAAUAAAGUGAGGCACGUGUGCCUUUUUGUGUGUACUUUGUGAAAAAGGAUAGGCUAACUCCGUGCCCGCAGCCGCGGUAAUACGGAGGAUCCGAGCGUUAUCCGGGUUUAUUGGGUUUAAAGGGAAGGUAGAUGGGUUUUUAAGGCAGUUGGGAAAGUUUGCGGGUCAACCGUAAAAUGGCAAUUGAUACUGGCAGUCGUGAGUACAGUAGAUGUAGGCGGAAUGCGUGGUGGAGCGGUGAAAGGCUUAGAUAUCACGAAGAACUCCGAUUGCGAAGGCAGCGUACUAAACUGCCACUGACAUUGAUGCUCGAAAGUGAGGGGAUCAAACAGGAUUAGAUACCCCUGUAGUC
rnacentral:rRNA from 1 species